GGGCCAGGCGGCAAGCUACACAUGCAAGUCGAGCGGCAGCACGGGUACUUGUACCUGGUGGCGAGCGGCGGACGGGUGAGUAAUACCUAGGAAUCUGCCUGGUAGUGGGGGAUAACGUUCGGAAACGGACGCUAAUACCGCAUACGUCCUACGGGAGAAAGCAGGGGACCUUCGGGCCUUGCGCUAUCAGAUGAGCCUAGGUCGGAUUAGCUUGUUGGUGAGGUAAUGGCUCACCAAGGCUACGAUCCGUAACUGGUCUGAGAGGAUGAUCAGUCACACUGGAACUGAGACUCGGUCCCGACUCCUACGGGAGGCAGCAGUGGGGAAUAUUGGUCAUUGGGCGAACACCCUAUCUAGC
rnacentral:rRNA from 1 species